rnacentral:rRNA from 1 species
GACGAACGCUGGCGGCGUGCUUAACACAUGCAAGUCGAACGGAAAGGCCCUGCUUUUGUGGGGUGCUCGAGUGGCGAACGGGUGAGUAACACGUGAGUAACCUGCCCUUGACUUUGGGAUAACUUCAGGAAACUGGGGCUAAUACCGGAUAGGAGCUCCUGCUGCAUGGUGGGGGUUGGAAAGUUUCGGCGGUUGGGGAUGGACUCGCGGCUUAUCAGCUUGUUGGUGGGGGAGUGGCUUACCAAGGCUUUGACGGGUAGCCGGCCUGAGAGGGUGACCGGCCACAUUGGGACUGAGAUACGGCCCAGACUCCUACGGGAGGCAGCAGAGGGGAAUAUUGCACAAUGGGCGGAAGCCUGAUGCAGCAACGCCGCGUGCGGGAUGACGGCCUUCGGGUUGUAAACCGCUUUCGCCUGUGACGAAGCGUGAGUGACGGUAAUGGGUAAAGAAGCACCGGCUAACUACGUG